rnacentral:rRNA from 1 species
UACGUAGGGUGCAAGCGUUAAUCGGAAUUACUGGGCGUAAAGAGCGUGUAGGCGGCCAGGUAGGUCCGUUGUGAAAACUCGAGGCUCAACCUCGAGACGUCGAUGGAAACCAUCUGGCUAGAGUCCGGAAGAGGAGAGUGGAAUUCCUGGUGUAGCGGUGAAAUGCGCAGAUAUCAGGAAGAACACCCGUGGCGAAGGCGGCUCUCUGGGACGGUACUGACGCUGAGACGCGAAAGCGUGGGGAGCGAACAGG